rnacentral:rRNA from 1 species
GACGAACGCUGGCGGCGUGCUUAACACAUGCAAGUCGAGCGGUAAGGCCCUGCGGGGUACACGAGCGGCGAACAAGGGGGUAACAAGAGGGUGAUCUGCUCUGCACUUCGGGAUAAGCAUGGGAAACUGGGUCUGAUAACAGAGCUGGACAUCCUUCUCAUGAUGGGGGGGGGAAAGAUGCACCGGUGCAGGAAGGGCCGGCGGCCUAGAAGCUUGCUGGUGGGGUAAUGGCCUACCAAGGCGACGACGGGUAGACGACCUGGGAGGGUGACCGGCCACACUGGGCCUGAGAAGCGGCCAAGAGUGAUACGGGAGCCAGCGGUGGAGAAUAGUGCACGAUGGGCGGAGGCGUGAUGCAGCAACGCCGCGUGGGGGAUGCCGGUCGUGGGGUUGUAACGCUUUGUCAGCGAGGACGAAGCGCAAGUGACGGUACCGGCAGAAGAAGCACCGGCUAACUACGUG